UACGUAGGGGGCAAGCGUUGUCCGGAUUUAUUGGGCGUAAAGAGCUCGUAGGUGGUUCGGUAAGUCGGAUGUGAAAUCUCCAGGCUCAACCUGGAGGGGUCAUUCGAUACUGCCGUGACUAGAGUUCGGUAGGGGAGUGUGGAAUUCCUGGUGGAGCGGUGAAAUGCGCAGAUAUCAGGAGGAACACCCGUAGCGAAGGCGGCACUCUGGGCCGAUACUGACGCUGAGACGCGAAAGCGUGGGGAGCGAACAGG
rnacentral:rRNA from 1 species